AACAUUUGUGACCAGCCUAGGCGACAUAGUGAGACCUGUCUCUACAAAAAAUAUAUAAUUAGCUGGGCGUGGUGGCGCGCGCCUGUGGUCCAAGCUUCUCCGGAGGCUGAGGUCGGGGGAUCGCCUGAGCCCUGGAGGUCGUUGCUGCAUUGAGCCGUGAACGCACCACUGCAUUCCAGCCUGGGCAACAGAGCGAACUCUAUCUCAAAACAAAACAAAACAAAACAAGAAAAAGAAAAAAAGAAGAAAAUUAAAAAAAAAAAGAAAGAAAAAGAACGUCCCAGGUCUGUUGAAGCACUAAGAAAAGCAGAAAAAGAAAGGGGAGCCAGGGAAGGGCUGGCAGGCUGUGCAAUUUAAGGGAGCACCAGAAAAACUGGCAAUCAAAUAAUAUAUUAAUGUAAUAUUUUAAAAAGUAAAAAUUAAUGCAGGAAAUCCGGGAGGAACAAAAUAAGAGUCAUGUGUACCUUAACAACAGGGUAAGGUCUGAGGAUUGCGUCAUUAGGCGAUUUUGUUGCUGUACGAACACCACAGAAUGUACUUUGACGACCUAGAUGGUGGAGCCUGGACACACCUCGGCUCUGUGGUGUGGCCUGCUGCUUCCAGGCUGCAAACCUGACAGCAUGGGGCUGUACUGAAUACCGCAGACCAUUGUAAUUCAUGGGGAAAGCGCGAAUGCAGUCCCCCACUACAACAAAUUAUGCAGUCGAGUUUUCCACAUUUGGGAAUAUCACAGGGGUCAGCACAUCCGGAGUGCAAUCGAUGAGCCCCACGCUGGGAAAAACCACCUUCGUGAUCAUGGUAUCUUCCCUGCCAGAGAGAAACCAAUCAGCUUCAUUUUCAACUUCUUCUAUGACUCCAGAGGAUUCACUUUGCAUCUUGUGACAAAUGAAUAUAUUACCUGAAAAAAAAAUGACAGGAUAGAUUAUUCAUUCUGAAUGAUCAUGUGGUCAUCUUCUGCCCAUGAGGAAUAGUAACGUACCACAUGGGGGUGAUGCCCAAGCACUGCGUGAGCAUAAACUUCAUGCAAAGCCGAAUUCCUAUGAGACAGAAAAGCAUUGAGGAAUAAAAACAUCAAUCAAGAUAAUGCACACAAAAAUGUUUCUUAAAAAUAUGAGGCUUUACUAGCAAUGGCAGAAUAUUUAUUGAGAGCUCACUGCUUGCUUACUAUUUUAUCUCA
rnacentral:lncRNA from 1 species